rnacentral:rRNA from 1 species
CCUACGGGGGGCAGCAGUGAGGAAUAUUGGUCAAUGGGCGCAAGCCUGAACCAGCCAAGUCGCGUGAGGGAUGACGGUCCUAUGGAUCGUAAACUUCUUUUAUAAGGGAAUAAAGUGAGGGACGUGUCCCGUUUUGUAUGUACCUUAUGAAUAAGGAUCGGCUAACUCCGUGCCAGCAGCCGCGGUAAUACGGAGGAUCCGAGCGUUAUCCGGAUUUAUUGGGUUUAAGGGGAGCGUAGAGGGGUUGUUAAGUCAGCUGUGAAAGUUUGUGGCUCAACCGUAGAAUUGCCGUUGAUACUGGGAGGCUUGAGUAUGGUUGAGGCAGGCGGAAUGCGUGGUGUAGCGGUGAAAUGCUUAGAUAUCACGAAGAACCCCGAUUGCGAAGGCAGCCUGCUAAGCCAUGACUGACGCUGAUGCACGAAAGCGUGGGGAUCAAACAGGAUUAGAUACCCGGGUAGUC